UACGGAGGGGGCUAGCGUUGUUCGGAAUUACUGGGCGUAAAGCGCACGUAGGCGGCUGUUCAAGUCAGAGGUGAAAGCCUGGAGCUCAACUCCAGAACUGCCUUUGAAACUAGACAGCUUGAACACGGGAGAGGUGAGUGGAAUUCCGAGUGUAGAGGUGAAAUUCGUAGAUAUUCGGAAGAACACCAGUGGCGAAGGCGGCUCACUGGACCGGUAUUGACGCUGAUGGACGAAAGCGUGGGUAGCGAACAGG
rnacentral:rRNA from 1 species